CAAUAGCGUAUAUUAAAGUUGUUGCAGUUAAAAAGCUCGUAGUUGGAUUUCUGGUGGGAGCGAUCGGUCUGGCGCUUAGCGCGAGUACUUGCAUCGUCUCCGGCCAUCCUUGGGGAGAGUCUGUCUGGCAUUAGGUUGUCGGGCAGAGGAUCCUCAUCGUUUACUGUGAAAAAAUUAGAGUGUUCAAAGCAGGCUUAUGCCGUUGAAUAUAUCAGCAUGGAAUAAUAAGAUAGGACUUUGGUACUAUUUUGUUGGUUUGCGCACCAAAGUAAUGAUUAAUAGGGACAGUUGGGGGUAUUCGUAUUCCGUUGUCAGAGGUGAAAUUCUUGGAUUUACGGAAGACGAACUACUGCGAAAGCAUUUACCAAGGAUGUUUUCAUUAA
rnacentral:rRNA from 1 species